rnacentral:tRNA from 1 species
GUCUGUGUAGAUUAUAUAAAAAUCAUGAUGCUGUUAACUUCAAGAAGAGUUUGACUCCAUAGUCG